rnacentral:rRNA from 1 species
GAUGAACGCUGGCGGCGUGCUUAACACAUGCAAGUCGAACGGUGAAGCUCCAGCUUGCUGGAGUGGAUCAGUGGCGAACGGGUGAGUAACACGUGAGCAACCUGCCCCUGACUCUGGGAUAACAGCCGGAAACGGCUGCUAAUACCGGAUAUGCACCAUGAACGCAUGUUCUGUGGUGGGAAAGAUUUUUCGGUUGGGGAUGGGCUCGCGGCCUAUCAGCUUGUUGGUGAGGUAAUGGCUCACCAAGGCGUCGACGGGUAGCCGGCCUGAGAGGGUGACCGGCCACACUGGGACUGAGACACGGCCCAGACUCCUACGGGAGGCAGCAGUGGAGAAUAUUGCACAAUGGGCGAAAGCCUGAUGCAGCAACGCCGCGUGAGGGAUGACGGCCUUCGGGUUGUAAACCUCUUUUAGCAGGGAAGAAGCGAGAGUGACGGUACCUGCAGAAAAAGCGCCGGCUAACUACGUG